UGAACCUGCGGAGGGAUCAUUACAAGUGACCCCGGUCUAACCACCGGGAUGUUCAUAACCCUUUGUUGUCCGACUCUGUUGCCUCCGGGGCGACCCUGCCUUCGGGCGGGGGCUCCGGGUGGACACUUCAAACUCUUGCGUAACUUUGCAGUCUGAGUAAACUUAAUUAAUAAAUUAAAACUUUUAACAACGGAUCUCUUGGUUCUGGCAUCGAUGAAGAACGCAGCGAAAUGCGAUAAGUAAUGUGAAUUGCAGAAUUCAGUGAAUCAUCGAAUCUUUGAACGCACAUUGCGCCCCCUGGUAUUCCGGGGGGCAUGCCUGUUCGAGCGUCAUUUCACCACUCAAGCCUCGCUUGGUAUUGGGCAACGCGGUCCGCCGCGUGCCUCAAAUCGACCGGCUGGGUCUUCUGUCCCCUAAGCGUUGUGGAAACUAUUCGCUAAAGGGUGUUCGGGAGGCUACGCCGUAAAACAACCCCAUUUCUAAGGUUGACCUCGGAUCAGGUAGGGAUACCCGCUGAACUUAAGCAUAUCAAUAAG
rnacentral:rRNA from 1 species